rnacentral:rRNA from 1 species
UACGGGAGGCAGCAGUGGGGAAUAUUGGACAAUGGGGGGAACCCUGAUCCAGCCAUGCCGCGUGUGUGAAGAAGGCCUUAUGGUUGUAAAGCACUUUAAGCGAGGAGGAGGCUACUUUAGUUAAUACCUAGAGAUAGUGGACGUUACUCGCAGAAUAAGCACCGGCUAACUCUGUGCCAGCAGCCGCGGUAAUACAGAGGGUGCGAGCGUUAAUCGGAUUUACUGGGCGUAAAGCGUGCGUAGGCGGCUUAUUAAGUCGGAUGUGAAAUCCCCGAGCUUAACUUGGGAAUUGCAUUCGAUACUGGUGAGCUAGAGUAUGGGAGAGGAUGGUAGAAUUCCAGGUGUAGCGGUGAAAUGCGUAGAGAUCUGGAGGAAUACCGAUGGCGAAGGCAGCCAUCUGGCCUAAUACUGACGCUGAGGUACGAAAGCAUGGGGAGCAAACAGGAUUAGAUACCCUGGUAGUCC